UAAGGGUUCCUGGGUCAAGCUGAUCUGCCCAGGGUAAGUCGGGACCUAAGGCGAGGCCGACAGGCGUAGUCGAUGGACAACCGGUUGAUAUUCCGGUACCCGCUUUGAAACGCCCAAUAUCGAAUCAGGCGAUGCUAAGUCCGUGAAGCCGUCCUGGAGCCUUCGGGCAAAGGGAAGUGGUGGAGCCGACGACCCAGACUUGUAGUAGGUAAGCGAUGGGGUGACGCAGGAAGGUAGUCCAGCCCGGGCGGUGGUAGUCCCGGGGUAAGGGUGUAGGCCGUGUGAUAGGCAAAUCCGUCACACNUUAAGGCUGAGACCUGAUGCCGAGCCGAUUGUGGUGAAGUGGAUGAUCCUAUGCUGUCGAGAAAAGCCUCUAGCGAGUUUCAUGGCGGCCCGUACCCUAAACCGACUCAGGUGGUCAGGUAGAGAAUACCGAGGCGUUCGGGUGAACUAUGGUUAAGGAACUCGGCAAAAUGCCCCCGUAACUUCGGGAGAAGGGGGGCCAUGUCUGGUGAUGGAAUUUACUUCCUGAGCUGGGUGUGGCCGCAGAGACCAGCGAGAAGCGACUGUUUACUAAAAACACAGGUCCGUGCGAAGCCGUAAGGCGAUGUAUACGGACUGACGCCUGCCCGGUGCUGGAACGUUAAGGGGACCGGUUAGC
rnacentral:rRNA from 1 species